rnacentral:lncRNA from 1 species
UGUAUUGUAUUUUAUCGUAUCGUAUCAUAUUUUUUCAUUUCAUAUCAUACCAUAACGUAUCGUAUCGUAUGGUAACACAACUUUUUAAGUAUCUAAUUAGCCAUGGUUAUUCAUUUACACAUAACAGCUAUUUCUCGUUCAGAGUAGAUAAACGAUUCAUAUAAAUGUAAAACCAAACAGGUGCUUUUCCAACGCUUCUACUCCGUCACGUGUUUCCUACAGACCUCCUGCUGCUUUGAUCGGCUAAUGUGUCACAACGUGGGCUUACACGACAAAACACCACUGAUGCCCUUUGGGAGACCCAGACACCUCAGUCUGUCCCCAGUCUGACUCAGUCUCACCUCCUCCCACACACAUGCUACACGCUGACCCUGGAGCCCGGUGGCUCGAGGCUCACCUGUCACACGCUCUGCAGUGAUGGCACAUGGUGCGUGCUCAGACACACACACACCUCCACAGGCUUUGUAUGAUGUCAGUGAGUGGUCAGUGGGUCGCCCUGUGAGUCAUGCCCAAACCGCAGCCAGUCCAGAGGGUAGCCAGCUUGGCGACAGCUAUCUGGCCUAUUAUGCUUUUUGACAGUGAAUGCUCCAUUGUGCCGGGAAUACAAUUUGUGCCCACAGAGCUGAGAUAUCAAACACACUCACACACACUCUCACACUCACACACACACUUUUGUCCUCUUUAUUUCUGUCUUUGAAUUCAUUCCAUUUUCUGGUUGAAUGAGGAAAAAAAAACUCUUUUUCCUGUGUCCCUGUGCGGAGCUUGAAUGUAGUCUAACAUCUUUUUAUGAAUCAAGCUUUUCUAUAUCAUUUAUCUCUAGAUCAUAACAAAAGUCAUCUAAUGACACAAACAACAGUGGUGAUGAGAUCUUCCCUUUGAUAGGCAGGAAUCGGAAGCAGACUUGUUAGUGCAAAGCUAUCCAACCAGGAUGGGAUGAGAAAGUGAGGCAGUGUGUUGCUCUAGAAGCAGGUAGAAACCUUCAAUAAAGCCAGACUUACAGGUGGAAGGCCAUCUGCGAUGAAUGCAUGGGACAGGAGAGUCGAAAAUGAGAUCAGAGAGUGUGAACGUAACACUCUCAAAAUGUCAUUUUUGUCAUUCUUCAUGAAAAAAGUAACUGUUUUUUUCACAUGAACCAUGAAUCUGUCUUUCUUUCUGUUAACCUGGUUAAAUCUCUCUGCUUAACCUGUGUUAAAAAUAUGAUUUGUAGAGAGGCGUUGAAUAUCCAUUACAGCGUUUUUAUGGCUUCCUAAGGUAACGAUGUACAUUAUCUCUCCUUUAUGGCAAUAAUAACAGGUUUUAUGAGAUCAGAUAUGAUACACACUCUAUAGGAUUUAAGUACUCUUCUUCCAUGAGCGGUGCUUUUCAUUAAAUAUGUACCUUUCCUGACAUUGAGCCAUGACUGAAAUGCCAAUAUAAUAUAUAUGAUAAUUACCAUGUGCGGGCUAGAGCAGUCAUUCAUUAUCCGUCCUCCUAAGUCGCCUUGUUUCUAAGGUUGUGUAAGGAGAUGUGCAAAUGCUUGGCUUAAUUUAAUUUGCAUGAAACACAAAUGUAAUAUUUCAGUCAGAGCAGGAGUUUUCAGUAGAUGUUACAACAGUGUGUGUGUGAGUGUGUGAAUAUUUAUGUUUGUAUGUGAGAGCCCCCAUGGCUGCACUUCAGACACGAGGCCCGCAGACAAAGGGCCAUUCAUCGUCUCAUUCAUUCGGUGGCGAAGCCUCUCGGAGACACUGGGGCUGACGCCGAGAACGGCGGCUCCUGGGAGCAACAAUAGUGACAUUAUUUGGUGUCAGCAAAACUACGGCGAGCUUGUGCAAAGAGUGACCCGGGGCUCUUGUUGGAGACACACACACACACACACCAAAAGACAUGCCAGAGCGCUGGAUGAGUUUGUGAAUCGGUGUCUUGUGUGUGAUACAAACCCACUGAAAAAGUGAGAUGUUGCCGUUUGGAGAAGCGUUCACUAGUCUUGAUUUUGAUGCCCGUUUCUCGUGAGUAGGUGUUUAGAUGCCUGUUGUCUUGGUAACAACAUACUUCCCCUCACACUCAAGGUGAUCGUCUUGAUUCUCACCUUUUCACAAACAAGCAUUGUUGUUUUGUGGCAUGUCGGUAAACAGCACACGGUGCAACAAUUCCUAUUGCGAGUAUAAACUUUACAUCUCUGUAAAGCAUCAUUGAAGAACUGAAAAAGGUUCAUUUCCCGGCUCUGUUGGUUUGUGCGUCAUCUGUUCUCCCAAGAUAGGAGAGUAAACACGCAAAGAAACCACAUAGACGUGUUUCAGGCAACACAAACUAAUUUGUUCGUAAUUGCUUUGAAAAACUGCCAUUGACUUUCCUCUUCUAUUGAUCGGUUUAAACUGUACAGGCCCGGCCUUAAUCACAAAUAUGAGCAUUAUCUCCUCUAAAAUCAGCCACAUUGACAAACUCUUUAGACAUGAUUGAUUUGUUUUAACUGAUUUGUGUAUUAUUGAUACAGCUAGUGCUAUGUUGUGCUGUGCUUGUUAAGCUCAGACAUUAUUGGACUGGAGUGCUCAUCAUUAUCGGUGCCUCUCCCAGACACAUUGAUUAAGUUAUUGAUAGGUCACAAUGGAAAACAACUAUUGUGGCUUACAUCUCCCCUGGCUCGUGGUUUAUGUCUUCUAUAAUGGCUGAUUCUAUUGAUCUAAAUUAUUAACAAGGCAUGCACACCUUAUACAUGUGUGCUACUGAUAAUAUAUAGCUGUGCUGCUGAUAUGGAGGAAUGUUAAAGGGAGUAGAAAGUGGUUAGAUGUAAACAGUAUAGACACAAUCAUUUCACGCAGAGAAAAUUAGACCUGCUUACUUUCAUCUCUGUGCCACUUUAAUCCACCUUUUCCUCCGCCUGCUGGGAGUAUUUACAGUCAAACAUGUGUGGGGAGUGACUGCCUGGCUGGUAAUUAAACUCCAGUUUGUCUUGACACUAACCUCAGAGCCAAAGGAAACAGCAAAGUGUCAGAAUUAACAUACAGGUGUAAAAACCAGUUUGGCCCUCUGAGCCACAGGCUUGGCUGAUGUAUCCAUGUCAACACAGAGAUCGUACACUGCAGGCUCGCUUACAGAGGCUGAGGUGUGUUUCACUGUGCAUUUGAAAGCCUUUUUAGUAUGCUGACUGAGAAGUGACCCCACAUCUUAAGCUGUGCACUCAAAAACCAGAUGCAGCAGCAAGUAGAUCACUGUUUUCUUUUCUCCGUAAAAAUACAUCUGGUUUUUGCCCGAAUGUCUUUACUGUAAACCUUCAAAAGCAAAGCAUCUUGAGAUGUCACUAUGAUCUUUUGGGCCACUGGUGUGCAUUUUCACACAUUAAAAGCACCAUGUAGAGUUUUGUAGUUGUUGUGAACUAAGACCACAUCCUUUGUUAACUGUAAAAGUAACAAUGACUGCGUGAAAACACCCUCUCUGUUGUGUUUUAACAACCAAUCUCCUAAUCCAGCGUCAUUUUUUUCUGUUUGAAAUUUACGAAGAAUGGACUGCUGCCGCCACUAUCGCCAAGAGUUGUGUAUUAUUUGUUCUUUUUUACUUCUUAAAGUGUUCUCAGUGGUCUUUAGCCUCCUAAGACCUGGCGUACACAUGUGUGGACAUCACAUUUUUGGUUGUCAAGACCACAAUAUUAAGUUUUGUUCACAAGGGCCUUCUCUCAAAAUUUAAAACGAAUGUCCUCAUAUGUGGACAUAAUUUUUCUCAGAAACUACAUCAUGUAAAAAGAUCAUUCUUUGUUUUUACACUCAUCAGGUCCCAAUUAGCCUAAAUAUCAAAGAGAAAAUAAAAAUGCAUGCCUUGCAAGAGUUCGGGUCGUAGGAGGUUAAAUUGUGAUUAUGAAGUUUUUACCAAAAAUCGUGUUACCUGUGUCAUUUUUAAAGGCUUUUCUUCUGCAGAGCUCCAGUAGCUCAUUAGCAAUUCGCCUCUGAGUCGUGGGCAAAGAAAGCACCGCUCUGCACACUCGUCUUCACGUUAGCUUGCAGCCUACCAUUGUCGGUGUAGUGGAAGUGGCAGGUAACAUAGGAGCUCUUUAGGUCUCGGACACUAAUGUCUUUAGGGACACGAUGAAGGCUAAUAUCAUAAUUAUCUUUCUUACAAGCAUUGCAAUCCGCUAACGCACACGCUUGUUCCACCAGUGGUCUACUCUGCCUCUGUUUUUAUAUUUGUCGUGUUUGUCGUCCGCUACUGUAUUGUUGUCUGUUGUUGUUGCUUUUCUGUUUGAGGACAACGGAUGGAAAUUAGCCUUAGCUAACUCCGGCUGGUUUACAAUGAGAAUAGACAUACAUAUUUCUUGCAUCAUGUCUUCUUCUCCUUGUCCAUGAACUGGUACUGUCCU